rnacentral:sRNA from 1 species
CUCUAGCCCCGAUUGUAGUGGAAAUCCUUUUUGUUUUUUUCUUAAAAAACAAAAAGAUUGCAACGGAAAGCGGGAAACAGC